rnacentral:rRNA from 1 species
GACGAACGCUGGCGGCGUGCCUAAUACAUGCAAGUAGAACGCUGAAGGAGGAGCUUGCUCUUCUGGAUGAGUUGCGAACGGGUGAGUAACGCGUAGGUAACCUGCCUGGUAGCGGGGGAUAACUAUUGGAAACGAUAGCUAAUACCGCAUAACAGUAGAUGUUGCAUGACAUUUACUUAAAAGGUGCAAUUUCAUCACUACCAGAUGGACCUGCGUUGUAUUGGCUAGGUGGUGGGGUAACGGCUCACCAAGGCGACGAUACAUAGCCGACCUGGGAGGGGGGUCGGCCACACUGGGACUGGGACACGGCCCAGACUCCUACGGGAGGCAGCAGUAGGGAAUCUUCGGCAAUGGACGGAAGUCUGACCGAGCAACGCCGCGUGAGUGAAGAAGGUUUUCGGAUCGUAAAGCUCUGUUGUAAGAGAAGAACGAGUGUGAGAGUGGAAAGUUCACACUGUGACGGUAUCUUACCAGAAAGGGACGGCUAACUACGUG